GAAGAGCCCGGUCUCGACCUUUGGCGGCCAUGCCUAUGACGGCCUGAUGAUUCUGGUCGAAGCCAUGAAGCGCGCCAACUCGACCGAUCCGAAGAAGGUUCGGGACGAAAUCGAAAAGACCAAGGNNNNNNNNNNCGGCAUCGUCAACAUGACGCCGACGGAUCAUCUCGGCCUCGAUCUCUCGGCGUUCCGUAUGCUGGAAAUCAAGGGCGGCGACUGGACCCUGAUCAAGCCCGGCGCA
rnacentral:misc_RNA from 1 species